CUAUCUUCCCCAGAGCCUUCACUUUCCCAGCCCGACCAUGUAAGUUUUUAGCAAACUCCUUAAUGCUAACAGUGGAAUUAGAGAAUAGAGAUAGAAAUUUAAAAAUAGAGAAGAAAUAAGAGAGAAAUUCAGAACGCCUGAGAGGUUGAGAAAGAAAAAUUCUAUACUCUCUCUAAAUAUUGGGAACCAAAAUAUAUCUCCUUAGCUGUACAGUCAAGAACUCUACUACUAGAUUUUCUCUCCUCUCGCUGCUACAUUCCACUUAUCCUUGUGUGCCCGUCAAGUUUGCACCCACUGAUGCUUAUGUCCUGUUCUAUACUCCAUUAGUCAUUCCCUUUUGUGCCAAAAUCUCAGAAACUUCCCCUUUAACAUUUGAAACGCUAAUAUGUCCACAAUUGAGCCAACAUUCUUCCAAACUCCUCCUCCAGGUACCACAUUUUUUUAAGUCACCCAGACUCAAAUGUUGACAUAAAAGGGUGCAGGGAAACUUGAUCUUGCACUUUUCAUCCACAAUUCCAUUAGUUGCUUUUGCCAAGUACUGUCAUUUCUACUCAGAUUUCAUAUUUCAACAACCUCCGAUCUGAUCUCCCUGUCUCCACUCCAGCCCAUGACCUCCGGACUGUGGCCUGCAAGUUCCUAUGGCUUGAAAGCACACUGGACCUCACUCAGUCAUGUACUGGGGUGGAGAGGAAAAGGCAAAACGACAUUCCAUCCCAUCUCUUCCUUUGAUUAGUAAAAUGAGUUCUGACCCAAAUCAGGAGCCAUUUCUUCUCAGAGACUCCUCUCAAGGCUACUAGGACUCCUCUUGCCCUGGGGAACCCUAUAAUACAUCUUGCAGAACUGCCACAGGGAAGGGACAUUCCUCUGGGCUCUAACUAAAUGUGUGUCAAUAAAAUAAUGACUGUGUGUCCUCAUU